GGGGAUUUUGUACUAAAGCUUUGUGUUUGGAGAUUUUUUUUGGAGACUCUUAUAACUCUUUCUAAAAUGUUUUCUUUUUAUUGCUCUGCUUGAUUCUUGAUGAUCAUACAAGUGAACUAAACACACCUAUUUAUACUAGAGGAUGGUAAAUCCUAGCUAACUCCAGAACCAUCUCUUAAUCUUAUCCUAAACAUGUUCUACAAACUUCUUCUUCUUCUACACAAUUCUUUUUUUAUACUUCUCUACUUUUCUCUAGAUAUUUCUUCUUUUUAGGCUAAGGCUUGAUUGUGAUUUGAUUAAUUUUGGGCUUAAAGAGGGAAAUCCAACACUUAUGACAACAAGAUUUUAAGAAAAGAUUUAAAAUCAAUCAUUAAGAAGUUGAUUUUUUAGGGUUUUUAAA
rnacentral:lncRNA from 1 species